rnacentral:lncRNA from 1 species
UAUAGGUUCGCAUUCCUUCAGCCUCAUAUAAAAACCAUGUUUGUAGCUUUGCAUCCUCAUAAUCUCACCUUGAAAAAAGGCCUAUAGGAACUAUAUAAAUGCAAGGAAAAACAGUAGGUCGUCCAAACUUGUAAAAGGGCAGUAACGAAAGAGUUCAAUGUGAAUGUUAUAAAGGUCCAUCUCUUCUAGUGCUUAAGAACAUUUCAGUCCAACUGGUCUUGAGUCUAUUUGCUCAGGCCAUGUCUUCCCCUUUCACAUUACUCUGAACCUAUAAACUUCUUUUUUAAAU